ACAAACUUGGUCAUUUAGAGGAAGUAAAAGUCGUAACAAGGUCUCCGUAGGUGAACCUGCGGAGGGAUCAUUACCGAGUGAGGGCGUUCCGUGCCCGACCUCCAACCCUUUGUGUAUCGAACCUCUGUUGCCUCGGGGGCGACCCGGCCGCUUUGGCGGGCGGGGCCCCCGGUGGACCACUCAACUCCUGCAUCUUUGCGUCGGAGCGAUUUAGUAAAUGAAUCAAAACUUUCAACAACGGAUCUCUUGGUUCUGGCAUCGAUGAAGAACGCAGC
rnacentral:misc_RNA from 1 species